CGCAGCUUCUCAGCUGCUUCUGGUAGUAGGAACGCGCGCGGCCUGAACGGUAGACCCGUUCGGAACAGGCUGGCGCGCAGCAAGGGCUCCUCGGGAGCCCUUUUUCGUUCCAGCC
rnacentral:sRNA from 1 species